rnacentral:rRNA from 1 species
UACGUAGGUGGCAAGCGUUAUCCGGAAUUACUGGGCGUAAAGCGCACGCAGGCGGUCUUUUAAGUUUGACGUGAAAGCUCUCGGCUUAACUGGGAGAGGUCGUUGAAAACUGGAAGGCUUGAGGCAAUGAGAGGGGUGUAGAAUUCCCGGUGUAGUGGUGGAAUGCGUAGAUAUCGGGGGGAAUACCAGUGGCGAAAGCGGCACCCUAGCGUUGUUCUGACGCUCAUGUGCGAAAGCGUGGGGAGCGAACGGG